rnacentral:rRNA from 1 species
CGAGUACAGCGGCGAACGGGUGAGUAACACGUAGGUAACCUACCUUGGGGUCUGGGAUAACCUGUCGAAAGACGGGCUAAUACCGGAUAAGACCACGAGGGCUUUGGCCCUUGAGGUAAAAGAUGGCCUCUGCUUGCACGCUAUCCCCCCGAGAUGGGCCUGCGCGCCAUUAGCUAGUUGGUGAGGUAAUGGCUCACCAAGGCGAAGAUGGCUAGCUGGUCUGAGAGGAUGAUCAGCCACACUGGGACUGAGACACGGCCCAGACUCCUACGGGAGGCAGCAGUGGGGAAUAUUGCGCAAUGGCGAAAGCCUGACGCAGCGACGCCGCGUGGGUGAUGAAGGCCUUCGGGUCGUAAAGCCCUGUCGGGAGGGACGAAAUCUUGCCGACCCAAUACGUCGGUGACUUGACGGUACCUCCAAAGGAAGCACCGGCUAACUCCGUGCCAGCAGCCGCGGUAA